AUAUAUAAAGAAAACAACGUUAUAUAUUCAUUGUAAUUUUAAAUUUUAAGUUCAUUGUGUGAUCGACUGAUAUGAAUGAUAAGAGGAUGUAUACUCUUAUCAUCAUAGCAGUCGACACACAUGAUAUAGUUAAUGUAUUACAAAUUACUUAUUUUUCUUUUGCAACUCUUAAAUAAUUUUAAGUAUAAAAUCUUAAUGAAUAUUAUACUAUUAAUAUUAUAAUAUAAACUUCUAUUGUUGUUUUCUUUACAUUUCAGUACAGAAACGCAACUUGGGUUUUUAUUAAAAAAAAAGAAGGGAUUAAUCCAACAAGAUUAUAAACUCCAUUAUA